GAUAUAUAAUGUGGUUCUGAAAUCAACUCAUAUCCAGCAUGAUACAAAGAUUACAACUUUGCAUGCUGGUGUUAUCAGGAUCUUGUUUUGGGUGUGACGAUCGUCCAUUUCCAAGUCUCUGAUGGUGUCCAUGUGUACCUCCUGAUGACUCGGCAGCUUUGAGGUGUUGAUGGGUGUUUUAUGUUUCAUGGCUCAUACUUGAAACACCCACUAACACCUUCUAGUUGAACGAUGAUCCGGUUGUAUUCAAAAGCAUCUUAUCAGGUAGUUUUUGGAGAGUGUCUUUUGUCAGGGAAUUGUUUGAAUGACUUUGAAACAGAGAAUCCUUUCUCGUUGAGAGUGUCAGAUCUCACUAGUAUGUCUGAAGAAGUAUCAACAUUACAUUUGGUUGGUUACACUCAACAAAAUAUUUCAGUUAGUAUUCUUGAUACUCGGAGUUAAAGGUGGAUAUUCCUCAUCAUGUACGGUGCUGUGGUAGGAUGUUGGCAGUAUCAGUCUACCACUAGGAUGGAUGUUGAACAGAGCUAAGUGACAAGGUGGUCUCGCCUCAGCUGUAGACUGCACCCGUCUACCACACCGACCUGCCUCACCUGUCUGCCACACCCGUCUACCACACCCGUCUACCACACCCGUCUACCACACCAAUCUACCACACCAAUCUACCACACCUGUCUCAUCUCUAGUCCAUGAGUUAAAGAUGGAUUUUCCUAAUCACGUGCGGUGCUGUGGUAGGAUGUUGGCAGUAUGAGGCAACCACUGAGAUGGCUGUUGAACAGAACUAAGUGACAAGGUACACUUGCCGUGGCAGCACACUGCACCUGUCUCCGCGCUUGUCAGGGGGAGGGUCUGCACACUCAGCCACUGCAGCAGCAUACACGAUGAAGAUUACAGACCUCUAGGACGCCGCUAUGGUGCACUGCACCAUCAUAUAACAGU